rnacentral:tRNA from 1 species
GACCCCAUCGUCCAGCGGUCUAGGACACCGGCCUUUCACGCCGGCAACACGGGUUCGAGUCCCGUUGGGGUCGCCA